UCACUUUCGAUUUAGCUGAGUAAGAGUCAAAGCCGAUGUAUUCCAUUUGUGUAUGGAUAUGUUUUUGACAGAAGACUUAAAAGCUGCCAUUAAGUUAAAGUUUACGUUAUAAAGUAAUGUUUACACAUAUUUUCCAGGAGACAUCGUGAGAGAGGAUGUGUAUAAAAGCAGGAAAUGUCAAGAACUGCUAAACAGAACCUCCCUUCCUCGACCCAUAUUGUUUCCCUUUGUCAUCCUGGUUUCUCUAAGUCUAGGUCAUCUGCAGCCAUGCUACCUUCCCAGUUCAGGAUGGGAACAACUCAUCUUACGUAGCAGAAGGAACAAGCUGUUUCCUUGGGAAGCCAAAGACAGAUGACAACAUGAGUUCUCCAUCAAUAAUUUUGUAAACAAUCCUUUCACUGGAACUGAUGACUGAACCCAGAAUAAAUGUGGGAACUGAAGCUUAAAUCCUUUGUUAAACAUGCUGUAAAAGGGCCCUGCUGUAUGGGAGGUACUGCUUGUGCAAAGGCUGCCUUUACUCAUGAAUUUAGCAGUGGCAUAGCCUCCAAGGAGAAAAAGUAUCUCAUUAACUCUUGGCGAGGAGAUGGUGUGCAGCCAGAACGCUCCACAUGUGCACAGCGUGGUCUUCGUCACACAAUACAAUUUGUAAUUGCUGAUUACGUUUUGGCUGAUAUUGAAAGCCUGCCUGUCAAUCCCCACCUGGAGUGCAAAACAGUUUGUUCCCUCAAUGCUGGAACUCCAUUUCCUGGAGGAACUGAAGUGUGUGAAUCUGCUGAUCUCUGAUACACUGGUGUCCUUGCCAAACCAGUAAGAAGCCACAGGUACUGAACUGGAGUGUAUGCAUGCUGCAGUAAUCCUGCUUCCUGCAUAGGGAAAUUCUGUCUUGGACAAUCCUGAUGGGGAAAAAAUUUGUGGUGUUUGCCAAACUCAAAAUGAACAUCAAAAGGAUUCUGGAUGAGAGUCUGAAAUGAGAACAUGGGCUGUUGAAAUGCAUGAUGAGGAAAAACCUGGAAGAAGAGUGUGAAAGAGGACGAUUCCUGGCCUGAACAAAAGUUGCAGGUUUACACCAAUGCAGCACUCAUCUCGAUUUUUUUUACUGGCGUGGAAAAGCUGAAGUCAUAAAAACUUGUGUGACUACAGGACAUCAGGAUAAAACAGCAGCAGGAAGGGCAGUUACAACCUACUUCAUAGGAGGACCUCAGGCUAUACACUCAUCUCUUUCUGGAGGCUCAUAUUGCUCCAUCCUGGCUGAGGUGUGUGGCUGCAUGGAGCUGCCUGAAAGGGCGGGCGCAGCAAGAGCUGGAGAAGAAUCGUCACAACAGAACCACUGACUGACCUCGCCUCGUCUCUUCAGAAACGCUGAGAGAAGGAGACCCAUACAGCGUCACGGCACAACCAGCUGCAGAGGCUUGUGCCACCUGUGGGAAGGGAACAUUCCUGGUAGUGUCAACAGGCUCAGUCUUACAAGAUGCAAAUAAUUAUCUUCUCCAGGCUGCUCAGUCUUCAGCUGAACCAGGAGUUUCUUGCAGGACUCUGAGCCCUUUAGGGCUUGCUCCUGAGCUAAAUGCAAACUUGUACAGCAUUGUCAGAUGCCAGUUUACAUCAGGGUCUUUGUGAAAAAACAGCAGUUCAGGACAGAGUUGCUCCAGUUGCACCAUCUGCUGUAGUGAGAUGAACCUCCAUGUAAGAGAAUCUCAGGCACUUCCUACAUAUCACCUCUGCGCCUUUUUCAUUGUCCCUCAUGGCAAACACAUAAAAUCCUCUGUGUUCUGAAAAAUCUUGUCUAAUAGAGGAGCUGUCCAUUGCUAAAGCACCUUGCAGCUGCCUUAGCUGUGUGAACUAGGAACACCCAUCUUUUAACAAAUUUUGGCUCCUGCAGACUCAUGGUAAUCUACAGAAGCACUGGCUCCUCACAAAAUGGCAGCAGAAGUUUGGGCAUGGAUUUAUGCAGAUCAUUAGCAGUCCAGAUUUAGCCUGAGUAGGAGAAAUUCAACAAAUACAAAGCUUGACUAGAAGGACUGGAGCAUAAAUCAGAGAUGAUAUACAGAAUGGCCAGCUGACUUUCAGAAACGCUUCCCCUAAGUCAGUACUGCUCACCUGUGCUACUGCUGUAGAUUCAGAAGCCUGAACUGUUUAAUACAGUCAGUGUUUUUGACCAUGGCUUAGAAAUUAUUCAAAGCCUGCAGCAAAACUUUGUAAGAGUCUGCUGUUAUCACUGAGCUGGAAAGAAUUAAUACAGAUUCAUAGAUCAGAAAUUCAGCUGUGUAGUUAAAAAUAAUUUGGAUGCUUGCUGAAAGCACACUUUUAAAUAAGGAGUAGGAAUGGUAGAGGUCAGAGAAACUCUAUGUUGAAUGUACUGAAUUAUUUUUUAAGAAAUGAGUGAUUUUGGGUGUACUUUAAAAUAAUUUACACAGAGCUAAUUCAUUAAAAAGCAUGAUGAAGGAUUCUGUUCUCCAUCCAUAUUCUCCUCAGGGUUCCAGUAGGCCCCCCCCUAAAAUCAAUAGUGUUGAGUUGCUUUUGGUUUUUAAUUAGCUAGAAAAUAAAGCUUCCAUAUUUCCUCUUGAUUUCUCUGUGGCACAGGCCUUGCUUACCUAGAGCUUUCUCUCAUUCCCUGAUCCUUGGAAUAAGUGUCACAGUGGUUCAGGUUAGCAGCCCAGGCUCCCCAUGCUGGCUGGAAAAGAUGCCAAACUCGACUGUUCUGUAAGGUGCCACGAGGCAGGUCUGGUCUGUGGACCAGCACUCGGUUAUGGUUGGCAAGCCAUGCUGACAGCUGUUGCUGAGGUGGUCAAGAGAGGCAGGGGACAGUGCAAAGGGGAACUACUGGUCUUGUCUGGGGUCUCUCAAACUCAUUUGCUUUUCUGCCAGACAAUGUAUUAGUGAUAGACACUUAUUUAAAUGAACUGCUCUAUCAGGUGAGACAGACCUGAGGAUUGCCAGAAGUGUUAAACUUAGCAAAAAAGGGUAAAAAUGUGGCAAAUAUAUUGUUCACCUGUUAUAAAUUUCCAUAUUCUCAGUCUGACAUUGACUUACAGCUAACAAUGUCAGGCAUGUUUGUUACUAUUGCAGAGAUAAAGUUUUCAGAAAAUUAUCUGCGGUAAUUACAGCCUUAAUAUUAAUUUUAGAACGAUAUAUUGUGUGUGUUGUAGCCUGCUCCCACCAUGAACAUUAUGAUGUGUGAGCUUUUUAGGCCCCCUGAUAUGUAAGUCAGAGCAAAAUAGGCCCUGAAGCACCCAAGCCCCUUCUUCAGAUCUGAAAUAGAAACUACCUUCAAAGCUAAGCAGAGGUUGAAGAAAAAUGCUGAGCUUUUGAUAUCAGUUUAUCACCCAAUGUUUCUGAGAUUUCCAGGUAUUAAAAGAUUCUCCAUGGCACUUCAGACAGCUUCUUUUGAUUGCGCUAAACCAUUUUGUGUUAUUGGUGUAGUUAAGUCAUCAUUUACCUCCUUGGCCAGAUCAGCUGCAGGUACACUGAAGAGCAUAAAACCACGUGAGAUUGCACGUGCAACCUCCCUGCAUUAUCAAAAAUGACUUAUUUGCAAUAUCUUUGCCCUGGUUUAGCCAGUUACUAAUCCACAGGGGAUGAUUCUUCCUAUUUCAUGGUACUGUGUUAUUUAAAGCAUUGUUCAUGAGGAACCUUGAUACAGGCUUUUUUUAGAAAUCCAUGUACAGUAUGCCAUUGUCCAUUAGACUACUCUUUCCUACAUGGUGAUUUCCUUAAAACGGGCUGUACAAGGUAGCUCAGUACAGGCUAUUUUGUCGUUUCCUAUAUAUCUGUUGCUGUAGGUGGAAUUUUUUUUUGCAUAAAACUAAUUUGAAAAAAUGCAUGACUCUCUUAUCUUUAAUGUGAUUCCAUUGGCAGGGAUCAAAGUAGUAAAACACAGGCUGAAAUUGGACCCAGAAGACAAACAGUCCAGUGCUACACCAUGUAAGCGUCUUCAGCUUCUCGUACAAAAAAUCAAAA